GGUUGCGAUCAUACCAGCACUAAUGCACCGGAUCCCAUCAGAACUCCGUAGUUAAGCGUGCUUGGGCGAGAGUAGUACUAGGAUGGGUGACCCCCUGGGAAGUCCUCGUGUUGCAACCC
rnacentral:rRNA from 2 species